rnacentral:lncRNA from 1 species
AAUUAUAUAGCCAAAAUUAAAGAAAAUCCAUACACUUCACUGUAACAUAAUACAUAUAAAUCACAACAAAACAAUCACAAGAAAAUGCAAUGUCAUGCAUGAGCUUAGACUGUACUUCACAAUGUGGUACCAUUCUAACUCUGAAGUACUUGGUUAGGAGGCUUGAUACUAUGCCACCAUCCCGAUGGACGGACAAUUCAAAUUGGUCAUGUCCUCAUAGAUCCCCUCAACUCAACCCGAGACACAUAUACGUGACAGUCGAGGUAAACAUGUGUUGCGUGGUAGCUCCCGACAUUUGGAGUGCUACCUCCAAGUCACCUAGGAAUUCCCCACCUGAAUACCUCCAAGGUCUAACAAUCUUGCCUUAAGGCUCGACAGCAGACCGCCACGAUCAGGCUCAUUCAGUUGUACUUCCCCAGAAUCACUAGGUUUGUCAGACCCUACCUAUAUGAUGACAAAAUAAUAUGUACUUCACAAAUUCACAAUAUUUAUUUUCUCCUCUCGUGUGUAUAUGAUACUCCAUUAAAACCGUCAUCUCAAACACAAAUCGAAAUCACCAUUAUUUCAUCAACUAUGGGGUUAAUUCAAUA